CACGUAGGAGGCGAGCGUUGUCCGGAAUCAUUGGGCGUAAAGAGCGCGCAGGCGGCCCGGCAAGUCGGGUGUGAAAGCCCAGGGCUCAACCCUGGGAUGCCGACCGAUACUGUCGGACUAGAGUUCGGAAGAGGCGAGUGGAAUUCCCGGUGUAGCGGUGAAAUGCGCAGAUAUCGGGAGGAACACCUAUGGCGAAGGCAGCUCGCUGGGACGUUACUGACGCUGAGACGCGAAAGCGUGGGGAGCAAACAGG
rnacentral:rRNA from 1 species